CCUACGGGUGGCAGCAGUGAGGAAUAUUGGUCAAUGGACGGAAGUCUGAACCAGCCAUGCCGCGUGCAGGAAGACGGCUCUAUGAGUUGUAAACUGCUUUUGUACAAAGGUAAACCUGAAACCGUGUAUUCAGCUGAAAUUCCUGUACGAAUAAGGAUCGGCUAACUCCGUGCCAGCAGCCGCGGUAAUACGGAGGAUCCAAGCGUUAUCCGGUUUUAUUGGGUUUAAAGGGUGCGUAGGCGGAUGGAUACGUUAGAGGUGAAAUGUCCGAGAUUACCUCGGGAACUGCCUCUAAUACUGUUGAUCUAGAGAGUAGAUGCGGUAGGCGGAAUGUAUGGUGUAGCGGUGAAAUGCAUAGAGAUCACACAGAACACCGAUUGCGAAGGCAGCUGACCAAUCUAUAUCUGACGUUGAGGCACGAAAGCGUGGGGAGCAAACAGGAUUAGAUACCCGAGUAGUC
rnacentral:rRNA from 1 species